ACAAUUUAAUAAGCAAAGCCGGAGACAGCAGGUGCUAAUAACUUAAUAUCCUGCCGAGGUUACUACUUUCAUGGCCUAAAGUUUGACAAAAACAGUUUAACAACUGUGCCAUUAAAAGUAAUAAUGUGAAACCCCGGCAAAUGUAGCUGGGGUUUGUUGUUUUCGGC
rfam:Anabaena cylindrica PCC 7122, complete genome.